AAAAAAAAAAAAGUCAGCACUUCCCCCUUGGUGUUUAAAAAAGACAUUCCUUCCAGAAUACUCCAGGGGGCAGUGUUUUCUAAUGCAUUUUCAGCGGGUGACUGAAGGAUGGAAAAUUUUUGAAAAAUUGACAGCUGCAUGAAAAAUGAGAAAAUAUUUUUCUCACUUCUGAAGUAGACCUGCAGCUGGUGUCUUGUUCAUCCAGAGAACACUCUGAAGCAAUGAGUGCAUGGGAGACUGCUUUCGGUUUAGGAAAAUCAUGAGAAAUGCAGCACUCUCCAUUCUGCAUUCUUUUCCCUGGGUUUCUUCAUAGCAACGUUUUGUUUUUCACUCGGAACAAUUUCUGAAUCCUUGAGUUUGAAAAAAAAACUUAGGAGUAAAAACAAUUGGUACCAAAUAUAAUUGUAGUCAGAAGGCUGCUUACUGAUAUUAAAGUAACCUCAGUAGCAAUGUAAAGGUUCAUGUCUGUUGUGUCAAAUUAUAUUUUUUGUGAUAGUUUAGAAGGAAUAUAAAGUUAGAACUAAGUGUGAUGAUCACCUGAGCCUUGGAGAGAAACUUUGGUGCCUCUAAUCAGAUCAUCUACAAACAACAGGUUACUCCUUGGUAUGCAUAAUUAGUUGCUGGAGGAUAAACUAGCCACACAGAGUCUCAGCCAUCAUGAAGUUUCUGAUGUCCUGCAGAGUGUUCAGCCCAGGAGGUCAAUGCCACAGUUUUCCUGAGUCCCCUGUACCUGCUCUACACUGCUUUAGUGGCCUCUACAGAUAUGUGAGUGAUGGCACAGUGGCAGGCACAGAAGUCUUUCUGAAGAAUAGGAGAGAGAGUUCCUGACCUCUAGGGGAAUAGAGUUUAAAGAAAGGUAACCAGAAGAGUGAUCUGAGGAUGCAUGGAAGUGCUUAUUAAAGGAUUUAUGUUUGUGAUAGCUGAAUACAAGUCCCCGUGCUCAUAUUGGACAUAGAAGGAAGUAUGGAUGGGUUGGUGAGGGGGUGCAAACAAAGAGUAAUCCCAUGCUAUUCCUACAGUAUUGUGCCAUCACCUGUGUAGAGUCCUGUUUUCUUCCUUUCUGGACAAUAACGACAGGGCCAAGAGAAAUCUACCAUACUCCCUAAUAUACCACCACCUGAUUGUCCCUGGGUGGCAGUGGAGAUUAAAGUCUGCAAAGAGAGAAGUCAGACUUUUGAAGCUCUGACUUGUGUCCCCAGAGACUCUCCUUAUUACUUUCGGCCACAGAAACUCCCUGUUGCUUACUGUGAUCCAUCCUGCACAUCUGCCUGCAGGGCUCCAACAAUGGGCACCACUAUUUCUCUGUCUUUUCUCCUCUUCUCUCAUUAAGAAGUGUUACAUACUCCUCCUCCUGCAUAAGUUCCAACUCAUAAAAUUUUUUAUUAAUAAAUACUAAUUGUACACAUUAAUAGGGUUUGGUGUGAUCUUUCUAUACAUGGACAUGAGAGGUCUUUCCAUCUUCUAGUAUCUUCUUUGAUUUCUUUCUUUAGCGUUUUAUAAUUUCCACCUAGUUAGGUUUUAUCCCUGGGUAUUUUAUUUUGAGGUCUUUAUGAAUAGAAUUAUUUUCCUAAUUUCUUUUUCAGUGAGUUCAUUAUUGGUGUAUAAAAAAGUCACUGGAUUUUGUAUGUUGAUUUUGUAUCAUACUACAUUGCUCAAUUUAUCAGUUCUCAGAGUCAUUUGGUAGAGUAUUCGAUUCAUAUCACCUGCAGACAGGGAUAAUUUGACUUCUUCCCUUCCUAUUUAUAUCACUUUUUUUUUCUUUCUCUUGCCCAAUUGCUCUGAUUAACAUUUGUAUACAAUGUUAAAAUGAAUAAAAGUGAUGAAAGCAGAUACUCUUGUCUCAUUCCUGAUUUUAGAGAAAAUGCUUUCACUGUUUCCCAAUUUAGUGUAAUGUUGGCCAUAGGGUAGUCAUAUAUAACUUGUAACAUGUUGAGGUAUAAUCCUUCAAUACCUAGUGUCUUCAGAAAUUUUAUCACAAAGGGAUUCUGAAUUUUAUCAAAGGCUUUUUUUUUUUUUUACAUUUAUUGAGAUGA